CUUUCCUUCUUUUUCUUCUAUUCUAGUGCAUCCGAUCUGGAACAUAAACCUCGCGCCUAUGAUGACGUGCACGUAGCACAACUGUGCACAUACGCGAAGCCAAUGCGGCGAAGCUUUCUUUAUUUGGUAUUAUAUCGCGCACGGUCAACACCUCCUAUAUACAAGUAUAGGAGGUGUUGUCACGGUAUGAGCAACAACGUGCGACCGCUUUGCCAUGCGAACGCUUUGCUCUCGCGUUGUAGCUCUUACUAAGUGCGAUAGUACAAGUACAUACAUAAAUAAUCUCGCAACCGUCAAUCAUCGUCUAAAUUAAAACGUCUUCUUCUUUUUUUUAUUGUUAUUAAAAUCGCGAAUGAUCCCCCCACGAGCCAAGCAGCAAACACGUCAGCGUUUGUUGCAGCUGCCCACGCUUAAAAUGGCGCACAGCAAACAGCUGUCACCCGAAGAGAUCGCAGACAUCAAGGGCGCCUUUCUGCUGUUCGAUCGAAACGGUGACGGCGUCAUUUCGUGCGCAGAGCUCGAGAUGGUGUUGCGGGCUCUUGGAGAAAGGCCCAGCGCCGACGAGAUGGCACGCAUCGUGCGCCAGGUGGACCGCAAUUUCAACGGGAGCAUCGACUUCCAAGAGUUCUUGGCCUUCAUGGUGCGCAAGAUGUCGGUGCGCGUCAGUACACGCGCGGAUGUUCUCAAGGCGUUUCAAGUAUUCGACAGGGACUCUAAUGGAUAUAUCACAAAGGCCGAACUGACCCAAAUCUUCACCAAAGUACAUCCGCCCUCUUGUCACUUUAUGCAUAAACUAGUGGAAUAUUGGGCAAAGCAUGACACUUGAAGAAGCUGAAAAAAUCAUAGCAGAAGUAGAUGCUGACAAGGAUGGCCGCAUCAACUAUGCAGAGUUUCUAAACAAGAUAAUGCCAGAGGAAAAGGAGGAAAGCAGUUCCAGUAACAAACAACAAGGCAGAUGAAAACAAUUUUACUGCCCUCCCCCCCCCACA